GAAUUUUGGACAAUGGGCGAAAGCCUGAUCCAGCAAUGCCGCGUGCAGGAGGAAGGCCCUCGGGUUGUAAACUGCUUUUGUACGGAACGAAAAGCUUUGGGUUAAUACCCUGGAGUUAUGUCGGUACCGUAAGAAUAAUCACCGGCUAACUACCUGCCCGCCGCCGCGGUAAUACGUAGGGUGCAAGCGUUAAUCGGAAUUCCUGGGCGUAAAGCGUGCGCAGGCGGGUUUGUAAAACAGAGGUGAAAUCCCCGGGGUCAACCUGGGAACUGCCUUUGUAACUGCAAGGCUAGAGUACGGCAGAGGGUGGUGGAAUUCCGCGUGUAGCAGUGAAAUGCGUAGAUAUGCGGAGGAACACCGAUGGCGAAGGCAACCCCCUGGGCCUGUACUGACGCUCAUGCACGAAAGCGUGGGGAGCAAACA
rnacentral:rRNA from 1 species